rnacentral:misc_RNA from 1 species
CUAGCCGGCCUCUCGAGAAUAUAAGGUACACAUAGCAGACACAAACAUACAGCCUGUUUGUAUAUGUUGGUAUGCUUAAGAUCUAAAUAAAGCUAACAGUGCAGUAGCUCAUACUGCGAUAAAAGUAAAUCUCUGUGCCUAGAAAACACAAAUGUAAAUUUGCCAGAUCUUCUCAUAAGAUGGCGAGGGAGGGAGGCGGUAAAGGUGGUUUACAAAUAUCAUUCCAAAGUAUUUCUUCUACAUCGUUACAACAUGACUUCAUACAUCAAACAUCAACUUUAGCGGCUUACUAAGGCACAUAAGAUCUUCUGUUUCUCUCUGCUGAUCACCAGACUCUGUAGUUACCUAUUGAGCUGCAUCUUCAGAAAAUCUGGCAUCAAAUGGAGCAGAAGGAUUGGGAUGUACUGCUGAAGCACUAUUCGCUCCAGAACCAUGUUGCAGUUCUAUCACUAGCCAUCUUACAGCUUUACUCAUCUGCUCCAA